CGUUCUCCCAAACUUAGGGUUUCGUUUCCUUCGAAUUCUCUUAUUAGUAGUGCUCUUCGAUCCCCGAAAUCGCGCGGCCGACCUACUCCUUCGUAUCCAUGAAGCACUAGAUGGAAUCAGGUGAGGAGGACUGCGGGAAUUCCCCCCGGGGGUGAUGGAGAUGGAGAACUCCCGCAGAUCCGCCAUGGACCGCUCCCGAGAACCGGGCUCGAAGCGGCCUCGGCUGGCGGCAGCGAACGCCGCGGACCGGGGCCGCGUCGCCUCCAACCGGGACCGGACGCUUCCUCCGCUGAGGACCGGGGGGCAGAUGUUGGCUCCUAGGGCAGGGGAGAGGCAAGAGAGAGACGACGUCGUGAGAAGAGGGUCGCAUCAGGAACUUGUGGCGCAGUACAAGACGGCGCUCGCGGAGCUAACAUUCAAUUCCAAGCCCAUCAUCACUAAUCUGACCAUUAUCGCGGGAGAGAGCCUUCACGCCGCUAAGGAAAUUGCCGCUCUUAUCUGCGCCAAUGUCCUUGAGGCACCCAGUGGACAGAAGUUGCCAUCGUUGUAUCUGCUAGAUAGUAUCGUGAAGAAUAUCGGGAAAGAUUAUAUUAAAUAUUUUGCUGCAAGGCUACCUGAGGUCUUCUGUAAGGCCUUCAAACAGGUUGAAUCUUCUAUUCAUCCUAGUAUGAAACAUCUGUUUGGGACAUGGAAAGGAGUUUUUCCAUUGGCCCCUCUUCAGAUAAUUGAAAAAGAGCUAGGCUUCCCACCGGUCAUCAAUGGUUCAUCUGGAUCAGCAUCAUCAAAACUUGAUUCCCAACCACAACGUCCAGCUCACAGCAUUCAUGUGAAUCCAAAAUACUUGGAGGCGAGGCAGCGCCUUCAACAAUCACCUAGGAAUAUGCAACAGCCACAGAAGGAAUUAGUAAACAAUGUUAUAUGUGAGAAAAAAGGACUUAAAGAUGUUAGAGAUCAUGUAUAUGCUUCCGAUAUUUCACGAGAGUCAGACCCUGGCAUAGGAAGAGUCAGUGAAAGGCUUAAGGACCGAGAUGAGCAUGACAAAACAUAUUAUGGUGGUGGUAUGGCUGCUACUGAAGCACAGCUUAAUAGAAGGAAAGGAUUCGAUGUUAAUCAUUCUAAUGGAAGCAAUCAAGUAUCUGGAUCUGCAAAUGCUAGUGCUCAGCUAACUUCAGUUGACUUGGUUGAUACAGAUAGAAGCAAAUUAGAAGCAUCUAGGAGCUGGAAGAUCUCUGAGGAGGAAGAGUAUCUGUGGGAUGAAAUGAAAACAAGAAAAACAGAUUAUGGAGGUACCAACUACUUGCAAAAAGUUGGGUGGAAUAAUAAUAAAGCUGAUAAGACUGCCAGCCUUGGAAGAGGUAAAUGGAUCCCUCUGGAGUCUGGGCAUGUAGAGUCCAAUGUGAACAAAGUUGAUGCCUUCUCUCAAUUAGUGAAGACUGCUAAAGGAGAAGGCAGAGUGCUGGCAUAUGAGAGCCUUGGUGAUUAUCUUCCACCACUUCAUGCCAAGCAGGACACUGAUUUGGGAUUCAGUAUGGAGGCUUCUUCGAAUUCACUAUUGCAGCAACGGGCUUCAUCUGAAAAUCAUUCCUCAUCCUUCUGGCCCUCCCAUGAGGCGUCACAAUCAGUGGUUGGAUCACAUUAUAAAGGCUCAAGUAUUGGUCAACUGAAAGAACAAUCCAUUUCUUUCAGUGGUGGUUCAUCUACAAGCACUAGUUCUUCUUUGCCUCUUCCAGGGCUGAGAUCCUCCGUCCUUUCUUCGAAUUUGAGCUCUUAUGUUCAUAUCCCAGGUUCAAGUGGAACUUCUGGACAGCAAAGGUCACAACCUUUACGACCUCCAUCACUGUCUUCUCAGUUACCUCCAUCUUCAGUGCACAUUCAACAAGGGAAGCCACAUGACUCAAUUGAUCAUAAUCAUUUUCAAUCUCAUUCAUUCUCUCAAGUGGAUCAGAAGGCUUUGCAUCUGGUGGGGCAACAAAAUCAAGUGCAACAUCUACCAGGGUCGCCAAGUAAUUUUCUUGCUAAAAAUCAUGCUCAGCCAAGUUUAUCAAGCUCAAUAACAUCCCUCUCAGAUGUUUCUCAACAACUUGAUGGUUUAAUUAAUGCUGCUAAUCGGUUGAGUUCAAGGGAUCAUCUUCCUUUCACACAGCAAUCACAACAUAAUCUAUCCAAAUGGCAGACAGAAAAUCAGCCUCAGCCUCAGCCUUCCAAGCCUCAACCGCCCCUUCAGAGUGUAACCCAGUCUCAGACCGAGAAGCCACCACUUCUGCCUCUGGCAAUUGGAGCUCAUUGGAGUGGAAAAGACUCUGGGAUGAGCUACUCAAAUAAUGCUGCUGUUGAUGUUUCAACACCGCCUACCACGAGUAGUUUGCUGGCUACUAUUAUGAAUGGUGGUUUAUUACCAAAAAAUUCAGUCAGUGGCUUCCAAAAGGCAAGUAUACUGCCUCCUUUACCUAUUGGGCCUCCUCCUGUUCAAGCUUUGACAUCAACUGCUCCUUCAGAUACUCCAUCAUUGUUAGCUCCUAUUUCCCUUGGUAAUAUACCAGAUGCGAAGUCAACCACCCAUUUUGGAGAUGUGAUGCCUCCCCUGCCACUUGGGCCUCCACCUUCGUCAUCCUUGGUUGGUGUGAACUCCGAGAACUCCAAGACAUCUGAUCCCAAUGUGAACUCACUUUCAAGUCUUUUGAGUUCCUUGGUUGCAAAAGGUUUAAUAGCCUCAUCAUCAACUGAGUUGCCAACUGUAUCUGCAGCUCAGUCAUCUAAUAAGGUCCCAGAUCAGUCCAGUGUCUUUGCUAGCAAAAGUUUGGAGCAAAUUCCUCCGAUCUUAACUACCUCAAGCACUCCUCCAACUUUGGCAGAAGAGCCUGCUGCUUCAAAAUCAGUUGAAAGUGGCAUGCUAUCGCUAUCCAAUGCAGCUGAACCAAAGGAUAUAGGCAUUGAGUUCAAAUCAGAAAUUUUACGUGGAUUUCAUCCUUCAGUCGUCAGAAGUCUGCUAGAUGAUCUAGUGCAUCAGUGCCACAUAUGCGGUCUAAGACUUAGACUACAAGAGCAGCUUCAAUGUCAUUUAGAUUGGCAUGUCUCACAGAAGUCUGUGAUAAGUAAUUUUAACCCGAAGUCUAGAAAAUGGUUUUCAAAUAGGACAAAUUGGCUUGAUGGUAGCAUGAGACCAGAAUCUCGUCAUUUAGAGGCAGCAAUUUUUUUGGAGGAAGUUGUCCCAAUUAAAGAGAAAUCUGAACCAAUGGUUCCUGCAGAUGAGAGCCAAAGUAUAUGUGCACUAUGUGGAGAACCAUUUGAGGAUAUAUACUCUGAAGCAACGGAUGAAUGGAUGUACAAAGGGACGGUAUAUUUGAAUCUACCAAGCAAGCAAGAUGAUGCAAACAAUAUGGAUGGCACUGCUGGUAAGUCUCUUAUUGUACAUGCACAGUGCACAAUACAAAGGUCUGCUGAUGAUACAGAUAUUGCGGAGCAUGAUAAAGUGGACCAACCAUGUGCACCGAGGCAACCUAAUUUGAAUUCAGGGUGAUCAUGAUUGGUUCUGUUGCUGCCUGUUCUGGUACAAAUGCAUAGUUCUCAAUGGAAAGUAUUUACCAGCUUUGCACUACACUUCAAGUCACCGGAUCCAGAUUGGCUUACUUGAGUGUCAGGUCUGAACUUACAGUCAACUGCAGAAAGAUGUCUAGAUUACUUUCAUCAGGCUCAUUGGCAACUUAACUCGUCCAAUGAUAUUGUACACGUUGGCUGACCAUGCUGGUGACCUUCAACUUUUGAGCAUUGUGGUUACUUUAGCUCGUACUGCAUGAACUGUACGUUACAUUAUUGUUUCAAGGAUGCUGCAUGACAUCUGUUAUCUC